AUUGAACGCUGGCGGCAUGCCUUACACAUGCAAGUCGAACGGCAGCACGGGGGCAACCCUGGUGGCGAGUGGCGAACGGGUGAGUAACACAUCGGAACGUGCCCAGUAGUGGGGGAUAGCUCGGCGAAAGCCGGAUUAAUACCGCAUACGACCUACGGGUGAAAGCGGGGGAUCGCAAGACCUCGCGCUAUUGGAGCGGCCGAUGUCAGAUUAGGUUGUUGGUGGGGUAAAGGCCACCAAGCCGACGAUCUGUAGCUGGUCUGAGAGGACGACCAGCCACACUGGGACUGAGACACGGCCCAGACUCCUACGGGAGGCAGCAGUGGGGAAUUUUGGACAAUGGGCGCAAGCCUGAUCCAGCCAUGCCGCGUGCGGGAAGAAGGCCUGGUGUAA
rnacentral:rRNA from 1 species